rnacentral:tRNA from 1 species
UGUUCUGUAGCUUAGUUGGUUAAAGCGCCCGACUAGCGAUAACGGAGUCGUGGGUUCGAAUCCCACCAAAACAA